GGUCAAGAUGGUAAGGGCCCACGGUGGAUGCCUCGGCACCCGAGCCGAUGAAGGACGUGGCUACCUGCGAUAAGCCAGGGGGAGCCGGUAGCGGGCGUGGAUCCCUGGAUGUCCGAAUGGGGGAACCCGGCCGGCGGGAACGCCGGUCACCGCGCUUGCGCGGGGGGAACCUGGGGAACUGAAACAUCUCAGUACCCAGAGGAGAGGAAAGAGAAAUCGACUCCCUGAGUAGCGGCGAGCGAAAGGGGACCAGCCUAAACCGUCCGGCUUGUCCGGGCGGGGUCGGGGGCCCUCGGCCGAAUCCCCAGCCUAGCCGAAGCUGUUGGGAAGCAGCGCCAGAGAGGGUGAAAGCCCCGUAGGCGAAAGGUGGGGGGAUAGGUGAGGGUACCCGAGUACCCCGUGGUUCGUGGAGCCAUGGGGGAAUCUGGGCGGACCACCGCCUAAGGCUAAGUACUCCGGGUGACCGAUAGCGCACCAGUACCGUGAGGGAAAGGUGAAAAGAACCCCGGGAGGGGAGUGAAAUAGAGCCUGAAACCGUGGGCUUACAAGCAGUCACGGCCCCAAGGGGUUGUGGCGUGCCUAUUGAAGCAUGAGCCGGCGACUCACGGUCGUGGGCGAGCUUAAGCCGUUGAGGCGGAGGCGUAGGGAAACCGAGUCCGAACAGGGCGCGUCCGCGGCCGUGGACCCGAAACCGGGCGAGCUAGCCCUGGCCAGGGUGAAGCUGGGGUGAGACCCAGUGGAGGCCCGAACCGGUGGGGGAUGCAAACCCCUCGGAUGAGCUGGGGCUAGGAGUGAAAAGCUAACCGAGCCCGGAGAUAGCUGGUUCUCCCCGAAAUGACUUUAGGGUCAGCCUCAGGCGCUGACUGGGGCCUGUAGAGCACUGAUAGGGCUAGGGGGCGCCUACCAAACCCUGUCAAACUCCGAAGGGUCCCAGGUGGAGCCUGGGAGUGAGGGCGCGAGCGAUAACGUCCGCGUCCGAGCGCGGGAACAACCGAGACCGCCAGCUAAGGCCCCCAAGUCUGGGCUAAGUGGUAAAGGAUGUGGCGCCGCGAAGACAGCCAGUCGAGUGGCGCCGCGCCGAAAAUGAUCGGGGCUUAAGCCCAGCGCCGAAGCUGCGGGUCUGGGGGAUGACCCCAGGCGGUAGGGGAGCGUUCCCGAUGCCGAUGAAGGCCGACCCGCGAGGGCGGCUGGAGGUAAGGGAAGUGCGAAUGCCGGCAUGAGUAACGAUAAAGAGGGUGAGAAUCCCUCUCGCCGUAAGCCCAAGGGUUCCUACGCAAUGGUCGUCAGCGUAGGGUUAGGCGGGACCUAAGGUGAAGCCGAAAGGCGUAGCCGAAGGGCAGCCGGUUAAUAUUCCGGCCCUUCCCGCAGGUGCGAUGGGGGGACGCUCUAGGCUAGGGGGACCGGAGCCAUGGACGAGCCCGGCCAGAAGCGCAGGGUGGGAGGUAGGCAAAUCCGCCUCCCAACAAGCUCUGCGUGGUGGGGAAGCCCGCAACCCCCCGAAGCCAGGGAGCCAAGAAAAGCCUCUAAGCACAACCUGCGGGAACCCGUACCGCAAACCGACACAGGUGGGCGGGUGCAAGAGCACUCAGGCGCGCGGGAGAACCCUCGCCAAGGAACUCUGCAAGUUGGCCCCGUAACUUCGGGAGAAGGGGUGCUCCCUGGGGUGAUGAGCCCCGGGGAGCCGCAGUGAACAGGCUCUGGCGACUGUUUACCAAAAACACAGCUCUCUGCGAACUCGUAAGAGGAGGUAUAGGGAGCGACGCUUGCCCGGUGCCGGAAGGUCAAGGGGAGGGGUGCAAGCCCCGAACCGAAGCCCCGGUGAACGGCGGCCGUAACUAUAACGGUCCUAAGGUAGCGAAAUUCCUUGUCGGGUAAGUUCCGACCUGCACGAAAAGCGUAACGACCGGAGCGCUGUCUCGGCGAGGGACCCGGUGAAAUUGAACUGGCCGUGAAGAUGCGGCCUACCCGUGGCAGGACGAAAAGACCCCGUGGAGCUUUACUGCAGCCUGGUGUUGGCUCUUGGUCGCGCCUGCGUAGGAUAGGUGGGAGCCUGGCGCCGGUGAAAUCCACCCUGGCGCGGCUGGGGGCCUAACCCUCGGAUGGGGGGACAGCGCUUGGCGGGCAGUUUGACUGGGGCGGUCGCCUCCUAAAAGGUAACGGAGGCGCCCAAAGGUCCCCUCAGGCGGGACGGAAAUCCGCCGGAGAGCGCAAGGGUAGAAGGGGGCCUGACUGCGAGGCCUGCAAGCCGAGCAGGGGCGAAAGCCGGGCCUAGUGAACCGGUGGUCCCGUGUGGAAGGGCCAUCGAUCAACGGAUAAAAGUUACCCCGGGGAUAACAGGCUGAUCUCCCCCGAGCGUCCACAGCGGCGGGGAGGUUUGGCACCUCGAUGUCGGCUCGUCGCAUCCUGGGGCUGAAGAAGGUCCCAAGGGUUGGGCUGUUCGCCCAUUAAAGCGGCACGCGAGCUGGGUUCAGAACGUCGUGAGACAGUUCGGUCUCUAUCCGCCACGGGCGCAGGAGGCUUGAGGGGGGCUCUUCCUAGUACGAGAGGACCGGAAGGGACGCACCUCUGGUUUCCCAGCUGUCCCUCCAGGGGCAUAAGCUGGGUAGCCAUGUGCGGAAGGGAUAACCGCUGAAAGCAUCUAAGCGGGAAGCCCGCCCCAAGAUGAGGCCUCCCACGGCGUCAAGCCGGUAAGGACCCGGGAAGACCACCCGGUGGAUGGGCCGGGGGUGUAAGCGCCGCGAGGCGUUGAGCCGACCGGUCCCAAUCGUCCGAGGUCUUGACCCCUCC
rnacentral:rRNA from 1 species